rnacentral:rRNA from 1 species
GAGUAAAGAUUUCGGCCGCUUUGGGAGGAGCUCGCUUACUAUCAGCUUGUUGGUAGGGUAAUGGCCUACCAAGGCUAUGACGGUUAGGGGGUGUGAGAGCAUGACCCCCAGCAUUGGCACUGAAACACUGGCCAAACACCUACGGGUGGCUGCAGUCGAGAAUCUUCCACAAUGGGGGAAACCCUGAUGGAGCGAUGCUGCGUGCGGGAUGAAGGCCUUCGGGUUGUAAACCGCUUUUGUAGGGGACGAAAUUUUUGACGGUACCCUUUCGAAUAAGAGGUUGCUAACUCUGUGCCAGCAGCAGCGGUAAUACAGAGACCUCAAGCGUUAUCCGGAUUUACUGGGCGUAAAGCGUCUGUAGGGGGUUUAUUAAGUUCCAAGUAAAAUUUCAAGGCUCAACUUUGAAUUCGCUUGGAAAACUAAUAAACUGGAGUCUAGCAGAGGUGCAUGGAACUUGUGGUGUAGGAGUGAAAUCCGUUGAUAUCACAAGGAACACCAAAGGCGAAGGCAUUGCACUGGGCUAGCACUGACCCUGAGAGACGAAAGCGUGGGGAGCAAAACGGAUUAGAUACCCGUGUAGUCCACGCCCUAAACGAUGAAUGCUAAAUGUUCGGGGAUUCGACCCCCUGGGUGUUACAGCUAACGCGUUAAGCAUUCCGCCUGGGAAGUACGGCCGCAAGGCUAAAACUCAAAGGAAUAGACGGGGAUCCGCACAAGCGGUGGAGCGUCUGGUUUAAUUCGACAGUAAGCGUGGUACCUCACCAGGGUUUGACAUCCCUUGACAGCCUUGGAAACAAGGUUUCCUUCGGGCAAGGUGACAGGUGCUGCAUGGUCGUCGUCAGUUCGUGCCGUGAGGUGUUCCGUUAAGUCGGGAAACGAACGAAACCCCUAUUGCAUGUUACAAUUUCUCAUGCAAGACUGCCCGGAUAUACUGGGAGGAAGGUGGGGAUGACGUCAGAUCUGCAUGGUCCUUAUACCCUGGGCGACACAGGCGCUACAAUGGCAGAGACAAAGGGUUGCAAAACCGCAAGGUGAAGCUAAUCCCAAAAACUUUGUCUAAGUUCGGAUUGAAGGCUGCAAUUCGCCUUCAUGAAGCUGGAAUCGCUAGUAAUCGUGAAUCAGCCACGUCACGGUGAAUAUGUUCCCGGAUCUUGUACUCACCGCCCGUCACACCAAGAGAGUUGGUAGCUCCCGAAGCGUCCCGUUUUAGCGGGGCAUCACGGAGAGAUCAGCGAUAGGGGUGAAGUCGUA